rnacentral:rRNA from 1 species
GAUGAACGCUGGCGGCGUGCCUAAUACAUGCAAGUCGAGCGAACGGACGAGAAGCUUGCUUCUCUGAUGUUAGCGGCGGACGGGUGAGUAACACGUGGAUAACCUACCUAUAAGACUGGGAUAACUUCGGGAAACCGGAGCUAAUACCGGAUAAUAUUUUGAACCGCAUGGUUCAAAGGUGAAAGACGGUCUUGCUGUCACUUAUAGAUGGAUCAGCGCUGCAUUAGCUAGUUGGUAAGGUAACGGCUUACCAAGGCAACGAUGCAUAGCCGACCUGAGAGGGUGAUCGGCCACACUGGAACUGAGACACGGUCCAGACUCCUACGGGAGGCAGCAGUAGGGAAUCUUCCGCAAUGGGCGAAAGCCUGACGGAGCAACGCCGCGUGAGUGAUGAAGGUCUUCGGAUCGUAAAACUCUGUUAUUAGGGAAGAACAUAUGUGUAAGUAACUGUGCACAUCUUGACGGUACCUAAUCAGAAAGCCACGGCUAACUACGUG